rnacentral:lncRNA from 1 species
AGUGGCAGGUGCGUCAGAAUCGGCGGGCGUCGGUGUCACCUUGGCGGCGCCGUCCACGGAUGAACCUCUCUUCUUGACGGUCUCAAUCACGCGCUUGCUGAUCCCCUUCGAGUAUAUCUGGAGGAUCUCCACCUCUUCGUCGACGGAGGUGGCGUGGGCGCCGUCCGCGGCCGCGGUGAUCCCCUUCGAGUUGAUCUGGAGGAUCUCCACCUCUUCGUCGACGGAGGUGGCGUGGGCGCCGUCCGCAGCCGCAGCCGUGGCCGCGGCAGCGAAGGCCUCCUCCUCGAUGAGGCGGCCAGUGGCGGAGGCCUCGUCGAGGGAGAGGACGCCGUAGCGCUUGGAGAGGAGGGAUGGAGAGGUGAGGGUCUCGAUCAGGUGCUGGAUCACCGCCUCCCGCGUCCGCUGCGACGGCGGCCAGAUGUUGAGGGAGACGGAUGGGAGCCUGGAGGCCGGAGGCGGAGGGGGCGUCGCGGAGGCCUCUGCCUCGUUGCUUCCCUUUGCGGGCGCUUCUCCGGACCCGUGCUUUGUC